UUCUUUAAAAAAGAAAAGGUCACUCAAAAUUGAGUGACCUUUUUAUUUUUCA
rnacentral:misc_RNA from 1 species